GGGAUUGUCCUGUUGAUGAUUUGA
rnacentral:siRNA from 1 species